UGCAAAGGCAUGGCAACUGUUAAUAUCAAUUAGUAAAAUGUUUAAAGAGACAUUUGUCUAGGAUCAACACAGUAGAUGGUUUUUCAACUUGAUAUGUUCAAAUAAGGAUAUGAUGAGAACAAGAACUUCUGACCAGUUCUCACUGCUUCAGCCCAGGAUCCUGAACUCUGACCCUCGCAGGUUUUAUGGGAAGGUUCUCCCUUAUCACACUCAACAUAUAAUUCGUGCACGAAGAAGACAACAGAACAGAAAG